UGGGAUUACAGGUGUGAUCCACCAUGCCUGGCCUGUUUCUUCUUUUAUAGGCAACAUGGUGUAUGUAGUAGAAAAACCUUUGGAUUGGACCCAAAUAUAGCCACUAGCUACUUGAGUAUGACUUUGGGCAACUCUGCCCAACCUGCAUUGCCUCACCUACAAAAUCAAGGAGACCAGCUGUGCGUCUCUCACAGAGUUGUUACGAGCAUCACGUGAAAUUUUGGCACGUUAACCUCUCUCUACCUCCUCAGUCAAUCCAGGAUAAUAGUACCUACCCCACAGGUUGUGAGGAUUAAACAAGAAAAUGCAUGCAAAGCACAUAGCAAAAUGCACAGCCAAGGAGAAUUGCUCAGUAAAUGUUAGCGCUCAUCACCGUCAUCAGGGGUGAACACCUGUGCUGUGAUGAAGUGCCAUCCAUCUGUGAGCUGUUUCCAACAACAACUUUUCAGAUAUGGGCCCAGACAGAAAGUGGAUGAGUGGGUGAGCACUACCACGUCGCCCAAGGUGAGCUGGAAGACCAGGGUUACAAAAAGUAGUCUUCACUUUGCAUCUGGAUUGAGUAAGACAGAGUCUCAUCCCAGGCCACAGUCUUGCUGGACCUCUAGUCUCUGAGGACACCUCAAGGAGUCACUGAUUGUCAAAUCGCCCAGAGACAAGCCUGUGGGCAUCUGACGUGUCAUCUCAGCAGAGAGAAGCAGAGGCACACGCACAGACGUCCCGUCUCUUCCCAACGCCGGGUGCAGCGACGUCAGGGUGGUGGCUUGAGAUCAGCCAAGGUGGGAGUGUUCGCAGCGCACGAACGGCAAACACCACAAACUGGGGCUGGUGUUUUCCCAGAGGAGCUGGUGGUGAAACAUCUGCCCUGACUGCUCAGAGGUGAGAAGACGCUGCAGGUGAGGAGUGAGCUGGGCGCUUGGGAAGCACCUGCGCGUGUGCUCUGCCCUCGCCCGCCAGGUUCUAUUGCCGCCGUGGAUGUGCUUCCUGGCCGCAGGCUCUGCGGGAGAGAAGUGACGGUGGGAGCAGAUCUGUGGGUCCCCGGUACUGGCCACACGUCCCUCCCGGGUCCAGGCUGAAGUGCUGGACGCUGGCCCCGAGUGCCAGGGCCACACCGAGCGAGGGAAGUACGAGCACAAUGUCUCUACAGCAAGAGCAGCCCGGCCGAAAGCUGGUGGAAACACAGCACUGCGGACAGGAAAACCCUCACAGUCACCUUCACCCAAAUUAUCAAAAUCGCUAAAAUAAAAUUUGUCCUUCAGAGA